rnacentral:rRNA from 1 species
UACGAAGGGGGCUAGCGUUGCUCGGAAUCACUGGGCGUAAAGGGCGCGUAGGCGGCCUGAUCAGUCGGGGGUGAAAGCCUGUGGCUCAACCACAGAAUGGCCUUCGAUACUGUCGGGCUUGAGACCGGAAGAGGUAAGUGGAACUGCGAGUGUAGAGGUGAAAUUCGUAGAUAUUCGCAAGAACACCAGUGGCGAAGGCGGCUUACUGGUCCGGAUCUGACGCUGAGGAGCGAAAGCCAGGGGAGCAAACGGG